UACGUAGGCAGCGAGCGUUGUUCGGAGUUACUGGGCGUAAAGAGUAUGUAGGCGGUUCUGCAAGUUUGGUGUGAAAUCUCCCGGCUUAACUGGGAGGGAGCGCCGAAAACUACAGGGCUUGAGUGCGGGAGAGGAGAGCGGAAUUCCUGGUGUAGCGGUGAAAUGCGUAGAUAUCAGGAGGAACACCGGCGGUGUAGACGGCUCUCUGGGCCGCGACUGACGCUGAGAUACGAAAGCGUGGGGAGCAAACAGG
rnacentral:rRNA from 1 species